GCUCAGUUGGUAAAGUACAAGGCUCUUAACCUUGUGGACGUGGAUUCAAGUCCCAU
rnacentral:tRNA from 1 species